CUCAGAUUCUUGACACCCACAGCUGAAGUUCCCCCACUUAAGCUUGUUCUUUCUUCUUUUUCUCCUUUCUGGAACACAGUGGAACUGACAGCUGGGUUAUAAAACCCUAAGCCUCCUCUGUGAGCUCCUCUGGGGGAACAAACCUCUUGCUAAGGGGAGAAAAUAGAAUUUCAAGUAGAUACACAGGUGAUAGAAAUAGAGGAGGAGGCCAUCAAAGACCUCAAAAUAAACAGGCAGGGGCAGGCCCAGGGACAGCACAAGGACUGCUGCCUGCAGGUCCCUCUCCAGGCCCUCAAUACCACAGUCUGCCCCCUGCCUUAUAGGGAGCAGGAGCCCUAGGAGGAGCUGAGGCAGCUCUGAUUUUGAAACCUAAGAAAUAUGUUGACUCUUCUCCUGUCUGGAGGGUCCAAAAGCCAGGAGAGACCCUCUGGCUUGGUUUCUAUGCAGAACCUCCAAGGUGGAAAUGGGCAUGCUGUAAAAUCUACCUCUGAAUUUCCCUGCUCCCUCAGGGGUCUCCUGAUCUGAGUAAGAUACGAGUGGUCCCUGAAGCCAUCCCACCAGGUCAGGUUAGAGUGGACAGACCUGAGGAGCCCUCAAGGGCUUCGGGCUAGUGGGGUGUUCAGGGAGUGGAAACAGGCUUGGGCCAUUUCAAGGGAAUAGUGUAAAAUACAGGAAGAGGAAAGGAGGGGGUGGAGUGGGCCUCCAGAGACCCCUCCUUCCUUGAGGGGAACCUGGAACGGGAACAGUAACAGGACACUCAAGGGCCGGUUCUCUCCUGGUGCUGGCAGGGCCGGGUGAGCUGCACUGGCUCUGGGAGGCGGGAAGUGGCUCUCUUGAGGGUGGCCAGGUGCCAGCUCCCCAGGCUCUGCAGCACAGCCUGCUGCUCCUGUGGGCAGGGGGCUCAAGACGGGAGGUCAGUUCUUGUAGUUCUUGGGUCUGGAGGCAGAAGGGGGCAGUGCUGUCUGUCCUGUCUUUGGAACCCUGGCCAGGCAUGUGCCCACACUCUCCGGCUCCUCCAGGUCCCAUUGCUGAAGGUGAGCCUCAGCCAGCAGAGCCCCCUGCAACCCAAGAGUCAUAAACCCACUCCAGCUUGCCUUGGCCUCGAUGCCGACCCUCUUCUUCCUCUUCCCUCCAGGACUCCAGGGAGGGAGAUGAUCCAUCCUAAAUAGAUCCCUUGGUCCUCAGAGAGCAAGACCCAGACUUUCCAGGGAUCACUGCAAGUGACACCUCCCUACCUCCCCUCUGUGCCCUUACCCCUUCCAGGGUCUUCCACAGCCUGGACAGGGUGGAGCCUCCUAGAAGCCCCAGGGAAGAGGGGAGUUAGAAGUUCACCAGCUUCCUUCCUGCGAGGAAGGCAAGUGCUGCAAGCCAGACCCUCACCCAGCACCAGCAGCACCCUACUCCCCAGCCCUUUCCCCUGUAGCCACUAGGGGCAAGGGCUGUGGGAAGCAGGGGGAGGUGACACAAGAGAACUGCUGGAGUCCAGAGCAGCCAGGGCUUGAGACCCCUUCAGUGGGCAGCCCACUCCACCCGUCAGAACCCCUGAAUGCAGUCAUAAGGGACAGCUGCCACCCAGUCUCCUCGAAGAGUGCCAGGUCCCACUCAGGGUGUAGAACCCUCAGCUGAGCCAGACAGGGGGAG
rnacentral:lncRNA from 1 species